UACGGGGGGGGCAAGCGUUGUUCGGAAUUACUGGGCGUAAAGGGCGCGUAGGCGGCAAAUUAAGUCAUCUGUGAAAUCUCCGAGCUUAACUCGGAACGGUCAGGUGAUACUGAUCUGCUAGAGUGCGGAAGGGGCAAUCGGAAUUCUUGGUGUAGCGGUGAAAUGCGUAGAUAUCAAGAGGAACACCUGAGGUGAAGACGGGUUGCUGGGCCGACACUGACGCUGACAGCGCGAAAGCCAGGGGAGCAAACGGG
rnacentral:rRNA from 1 species